ACACACACACACACACACACACACUCUACUCUGGUCUAACAGGCUUUUCAAGAUCUUGGUGCAUUCAGAGGGAUGGGGUCACCGAGAGUUAUAAACACAGCUCACUCCACAACUGCAGCUUCCUUCCUCCUUCAUCGGAAGUCAUUGGAGCCUCCCCUCUCAUGCUACACACAGAUAACACCAAACUGUAAUACAUGUAGGUGUUUACCCUUCAAAGUCAAGCCUAACCUGUAACGUUGUUCUGUCAUAUUCCAGCGUGCACUGUACUUCGAUUUGGCUACUAAAGGCCCUUGUUGCGCCUCCUGAAGACUGCACUGAAUCAUGGCUGGACAACAACAACCUCAGGGAUACAGUUUUAAUAUAUCAGCAAAUAAUGGAGAAAUUAUUAACCAUCCAAUCAUUAUUGGCAACAGAGUAGGGAGUGAUAUUCAAUGCCCAAUGAACAUCACUGAACCAUUAGGUGAUCAACAAAUAACACACGCACCACAAGUCUUCGAUAACCAAGUUCGAGGCACAAUCAACACUGAUGUAACUUAUAGUGAAGGGGCCAGACCUCAUCAGUGACGAAGGCUCUGCCUCUUCCCAGAUGAAAUGCUAACUCCACAAGAAGUCUCUCUUUUUUUGCAUUUGUUUGGUCUUCUUUGAUCCUCUACUCCCUGUGUAUAUAUUUUUCCUUGUUAUUUGUUGUAGAUAAUAUUUGUAUAAGGGGCCAUAAAACAUGAUAAUAUCUGUUAUAUCUCCAGAUUAUCUCCACGAUUUUCACUCAAUAGUCAUUAAAGCCUCGUUGAUUGUAUGUCAAUACAAUAGGCCCAAACCUUGAGUCAACAUAAUGCAAUAGCUUUUUUUUCAUUUACAUGGCUAGGAGUAUGAAACCUGUAGGCUAUCAAUGAUAUUUGUAUCAGUAUUCCAGAUAUUACACAUAAUAAAUGUUAAAAGUCCCUUACUGUCUGUUCCUCGUU